GGCGAGGUAGCUCAGUUGGUCAGAGCAUGCGGCUCAUAUCCGCAGAGUCGGAGGUUCAAGUCCUCUCCUCGCUACCA
rnacentral:tRNA from 5 species